rnacentral:misc_RNA from 1 species
CGAAAUGCGAUAAUUAAUGUGAAUUGCAGAAUUCAGUGAAUCAUCGAGUCUUUGAACGCACAUUGCCCCCCCUGGUAUUCCGGGGGGCAUGCCUGUCCGAGCGUCAUUGCUGCCCUCAAGCACGGCUUGUGUGUUGGGCUUCCGUCCCUGGCAACGGGGACGGGCCCAAAAGGCAGUGGCGGCACCAUGUCUGGUCCUCGAGCGUAUGGGGCUUUGUCACCCGCUCCCGUAGGUCCAGCUGGCAGCUAGCCUCGCAACCAAUCUUUUUAACCAGGUUGACCUCGGAUCAGGUAGGGAUACCCGCUGAACUUAAGC